rnacentral:misc_RNA from 1 species
CGCACCUUGCGCCCUUUGGCAUUCCGAAGGGCACGCCUGUUUGAGUGUCGUGAACUCCUCCACCCUCCGCUUUUCUCGAAAGGCAUUGGGCUGGGAUUUGGGAGCUUGCGGGUCCCUGGCCGAUCCGCUCUCCUUGAAUACAUUAGCGAAGCCCUUGCGGCCUUGGUGUGAUAGUCAUCUACGCCUCGGCUUAGCGAACACACGGGAGUCGCUUCCAACCGUCUCGCGAGAGACAACACACACGAACUUGACCUCAAAUCAGGCGGGACUACCCGCUGAACUUAA